GAUGAACGCUGGCGGCGUGCUUAACACAUGCAAGUCGAACGUGAGAGGUAGCAAUAUCUUGAAAGUGGCGCACGGGUGAGUAACACGUAGGUAACCUGCCUCGGAGUGGGGGAUAACAGUUAGAAAUGACUGCUAAUACCGCAUGAAUCCAUUAAGAUGGGAAUGUUGAUGGAGAAAACUCUGGUGCUUCGAGAGGGGCCUGCGGUCGAUUAGCUAGUUGGUGGGUAACGGCCCACCAAGGCGACGAUCGAUAGCUGGUCUGAGAGGACGAUCAGCCACACGGGAACUGAGACACGGUCCCGACUCCUACGGGGGCAGCAGUGAGGAAUAUUGGGCAAUGGGCGAAGCCUGACCCAGCAACGCCGCGUGGAGGAAUGAAGGCCUUCGGUUGUAAACUCCCUUUUGCAGGGAAGAGGAAGGACGGUACCCUGCGAAUAAGUCACGGCUAACUACGUGCCAGCAGCCGCGGUAAU
rnacentral:rRNA from 1 species